GUUGCGGUUAAAAAGCUCGUAGUUGGAUUUCUGUUGAGGAUGACCGGUCCGCUCUUUGAGCGCGUAUCUGGUUCAGCCUUGGCAUCCUCUUGGGGAACGCUACUGUGCUUGAUUGCAUGGGGCGGUAUUCAAGACUUUUACUUUGAGGAAAUUAGAGUGUUCACUGCAAGCGUUAGCAAUUGAAUACAUUAGCAUGGAAUAAUAAUAUAAGACCUUGGUACUAUUUUGUUGGUUUCUAGAACUAAGGUAAUGAUUAAUAGGGACAAUUGGGGGCAUUCGUAUUAACGCGUCAGAGGUGGAAUUCUUAGAUUGCGUUACGACGAACUACUGCGAAAGCAUUUGCCAAGGAUGUUUUCAUUGAUCAAGAACGAAAGUAUGGGGAUCGAAGACGCUUAGAUACCGUCGUAGUCUAUACCAUAAACUAUGCCAACUAGAGAUUGGAGGUCGUUCUCUUUAUGACUCCUUCAGCACCUUAUGAGAAAUCAAAGUCUUUGGGUUCCGGGGGGAGUAUGGUCGCCAAGGCUGA
rnacentral:rRNA from 1 species